UACUCCCUCUUAUUCUUUGUGUAACUAAACCUAUUGCGGCUGAGAUGAAGAGAGUUCACAAUAAUGAAGAAAAGGAUGACGACAAUGGUGAUGAUGAAACCCGUUUUCAACAUAAACCCUCUUCAUGAGUUUAUCAGAAUUGAAUCAAUGGGGCCCCAAGUUAGAAGAUCAUGGGCAACUAUGAAGGAUAAAACCUAUAAUGGAGCUUCGAACAUGCAUUUCCAUGCCACAC